GCUCACUGUUCAUCCCCUAACUGCUAACAAUCCCAGAAAAUACAUCGGGCAGACUCCUAGAUGCAAGAAAAGUGGACUGAAUGUGGCUGGAUAAUAUGCUGAAAUGUCCUUUUUUUCUCUCUCUCUCUUUCUCUCAUUUUCUUUUUCCCUUCUUCUUUCACCCCAGUUUAAGGAGUAGCCUACUCCAUCUCAGAGGAGCUUCUGAAUGUCACCCACCAAGAAGCUGUGAGCUGGAUGCUCCACAGAUAUGAUAUACAGAGCCUUCCCUGCUGGCCUUUUUCCUUCCAUCUGGAGAUCAGCCCGGGUCCAUAGGUAAAUCACAUCUUCCUACCUAAUAAUGACCAACUGCUAAAACCCAGAGCCUAACAUGAAGACAGCCAGCAAAGAAGAAAUGUGGUUUGCAGCGUUCCAGCCCCAGCAUCACAGAGCAGAGUGUAAAAAGGUAUUCCUGAUGACGGUGAACUGUAAGGAGGGGAGCCUGCUUGGCUUGUGAACUUUUACUUAAUACCGCUCUUCAAAUACAGUGCUUCUGCUCUGCCCUCUGCCAUACUGAGUCCCCAAUUCCCUGGCCUCUUCAGUCAGCCUCUGCAGAGAAGACAUUCGCCCCAGUGCCCUGGCAGAGCAGACAAUCACCUGGCUGCGUAGAGUGAGGAAGGAGCUGUAGAAGCCUAAGCGUCUCAUGCCAUUCUCGUUUGGAGUCACAUCCUGAACCGCUUCCCAGUUCUACCACCUAUGGCCCUGAAGUAUCACGUAGGGAACUCAACUUCUCCCUCUGAGCUUGGAAGACCUUUGAAACACAUAGGAUGUCCAGGGCCCUCUUGGCCCUGGGAUUCUAUGAUCCAUGAACCUUCAGAAGCUAGAGAGCUCUGCCUAGGUAGUAACAUAGACAGGAAGAUACAGGAGGUGAAGAAGGGCAAGGUGACAGUGGGAUAGAGUGGCAGGAGACUUCAAAGAAAAGGUGGGAUGAGAGCAGGACAAGAGCCAGUUGGAGGAAUAGGAGAGGGAACGCCUCCUCAGGUGUCCAAUACUGGGGCAGGAUCGUCACAGCAUGCUGGGGGCUGGUAGGCAAAGGGUUCUAGAAUAAUAAAGUGGAAGAGUAAACUUCAAUUAGAAUGUGGAGAACUUGAAUUUCUUUUUUACAUUAGCAAACCCCACAAUCAAAGUCGUCUAGAGAUUUGUUUUCAGUGCCAGAGACCCUACCCCAGACUUUAAAUCAGAAUAUCAGAGAAGAGCCCAGGAACCUAUAUGCCUUUAAACUUUCCACGUGAGUCCAAUAAACUGGCAAGUUUUGGAACCACUUCCUUAGGCAAUGGAGAACCAUGGAUGGUUUGUAAUCAGGAUGCAUGAUAGAAGUGGAAAUUCUAGAAAGAUGAAUUUGACAGGCAUACGCAAGGUGGACUGGAGGUUGAAGGACAUGUGACAGGGAUUCAAGGGAGGAAAUUUCAAUACUUCACAAAGAUGGUCAUGAGAGUCUAUAGGAGGUAAGUGGUCAGGGAAAAGAAAGAAGAGACUAUACCAAUCCUUCUUUCAUGGAUUGAAUUAUGUAUCCCCCAAAAAUUCAUAGGUUGAAUUCCUAACCCUUAGUACCUCGGAAUGUAACCUUAUUGGGAAAUAGAGUCACUGCAGAUGUAAUUAGUUAGGUUAGAUGCGGUCAUAGGGUGGACUCUAAUCUAAUAGAAGGGGGAACUUUGGACACACCAGCAUGGACAGCCAUAGAGGGAAGACGAUGAAAAGCAAAGUAGGGAGAAAUGGUUAUCUAUCUACAAGCCAAGGAGAGACGCCUGGAACAGAUCCUUCCCUCAAAGCUAACAGGAGGAACCAGUCCUGUUGACACCUUGAUCUCUGUCUUCUGGCCUCCAAAACUGUAAGUCAGUAAACUGCUAAUCACCAGGUCUGUGGUACUUUGUUAUGGCAGCCAUAGGAAACUAAUACACUGUCUUUUUGGAAACACAUUCCUGCCUUCAACUACCUCUUCCUCACUUUCUCUUGAGGAAUGAUUUCUCAAAGCCACCCACCUGAGAGGGCUGGAAGCAGUGGUUACAGAAUGAAGCAUGUGUUUCUAACAUUAUAGGAUGCCUUUUUACUGGAGGAGUGAGUGUGGGGUAGCUUUUUGGAGUCCUUGGCCAGUUUGCUCCCAGAACCUACCUGAGAUAUCAAAGAACUGACUUGUGAUUGGACCUUGCUGAAUAGAAAAGAUGUUAUCUCUAGGAGAAGCAAUUCACAUUCUCCCCACCUGAGAAAGGAAUUGGUGCCAAGAAUAUCAGACAGUGGGUAAACCCCCAGAGGAGAAGGGAGACUCAUUUCUUUGGAGCCACUACCGUCCCACUGGUGGCUCAUCCAGAUGUUAGAGCUGCAAGAGGAGGAACAAUCUACAAAAAAAGGUAAACUCUCAUUCUAUCAUUUUGUGGCUUGGCCUAUGCUGAAAUAACUAUCUUCCUUGGCUAAACAAAGAAUUUCCAAGAACCCAAUACAUGAAGGUCAAUGUCAUGGUGGCUGAUAUAACCACAUGGGACCAAGCACAACCACAUUCCUGGCCUCCCUCACUGUCCUGCUCAGCCUGGACCCACACCAGCUACUCUGCACUGCCCUUGCUAACAUCCUUGGGACACUUGGCCCUUUUACCUGCCAGUGUCCCCAGUGGCAACCCUCACUCUAGAUCACCCACCACCUGCUCACUCCAGGAUUGCCCACUUUUGCUAGAAAAAGUGUCAUAACUAUACCACAGGACCCGCUAAGUAUUCCCACUCCACAACCCUAUCUGGGCCCUUCCUGCUUCCAUGGUUAUCCAUCUGGAGUUAGCUUCCUGUUGCUUCCCUCCCAGCCCUUGCAAAGAAUUCUCUAGGCUCCAUGAGUCUUCAACUCCAUCCCAAUGACUCUUACCAUCAGCCAAGGAUGUCACUUCAAUUUUCUGGUCAAGUGAAAAGUCUUCAGGCAUCUACUACCUCACCUCUGUUUCUCUCCACUUUGGAGUUUCUCUAUGUUAACAUCACUCCUUUUCUGUAUUCCUCCUAUUUCAGAGGAAGAGGUGGUGUUUUAAUUUCCUUGACCAGGCAAACCCAUCUGUUCUGGGUCCCAUUUUAUUAUACCAAUAAUCUCAUUUUUAAAAAAUUUUCUUACAGAGCAUUUUAAAUACAUACACAUAAUUUUAUUACCUUUUUAUAUCUUCAAAAUUCUCUGGCUUAUUUCACUUGCAAGCUCAAGUCUCUUCCAGCCUUAAAAACAAAACAAAAAAUAAAUAAAAAAUAAUCUUAAUCAUUCCACUUCUUUGAGCUACUUCCUAAUUUCUUUCCAUUUUUUAAAUGGCCACUGUUUCCAACAGGUUACCUUUUCUUUCUCCUCUUUGUUUCUUAACUUUCUACAAUCUAGUUUCAAUCUCUAUCACUCCACUAAAAUUCUUCUUUCUUUUUUGUAACUUUGUUAUUUUGAAAUUUCAGUUUUUUAAACAAGUUUGCAAAAAACUGUGAAGAGAGUUCCCAUAUAUCCUUUGUCCAGCUUCCCCAAACUUUAACAUAUUACAUAACCAUAGGACAUUUAUCAAAAGCAGGAAAUUAACUUUCAGACAAUACUAUUAAUAAAACUAUAGGCUUUAUUAGAAUUUCACCAAUUGUCCUCCUGUUAAUUAAUUUCUAAAGCCAUUCUUUUAAAAAAGUUUUCUACUAAAGUCAUUUUAAACUUUGUUUUACUUCAUAAAUUCUGAAUAUAAAAUUAAGGAAUAAUGAGUGGAAAACUUAGAAAAUAUGAAAAGAUAUAGGCCGGGUGCGGUGGCUCACGCCUGUAAGCCCAGCACUUUGGGAGGCCGAGGCGGGCGGAUCACGAGGUCAGGAGAUCGAGACCAUCCUGGCUAACAUGGUGAAACCCCGUCUCUACUAAAAACACAAAAAAUCAGCCGGGCGUGGUG
rnacentral:lncRNA from 10 species